rnacentral:lncRNA from 1 species
UUCCGCAUUGCAGUGGCUGUUGUGUCAGUGAAGAAUCAAAGGUAUUUUUGAAAUGUGCGGUUUGCGAUUUCAAGCUGGGUAUGAAAUGUGCUACACUGCCAUACAAAGCAAGACACGAGUAUGAUGACCAUCCUCUCUUCCUCACCUACAUUAAUGAAAAUGACUACCAGCCUUCCUGCAUAAUUUGUGAAAAAGAUAGAGACCCGAAGCUCUGGUUCUACCGUUGUGAGGAAUGCGACUUCGAUGCUCAUCCAGAAUGUGCUCUCGGGAAAUACCCAUACGUCAAGCAGGGGGGUUUAACAUAUCCUAAACACCCUCACCCUCUUGCUUUGGUCGACAAGACAGAGGAUUAUCGUCCACAGGCAUGCGAUAUUUGUGGUGACCUUGCGAUGACUUGGCCUUGAAUGUACUGAUCCUAACUGCAUUUUAUCGUCCACAGGAAAGAUGGCAAUGCUUUGACUCAUUAUGUAAUUGGAUUGCAGUUGUUGGCUUUUUUCUUAUUUUUGGGUUAUGAUUGUUGGGGUGAAUGGUUAGCUUCAUACUUAUUAUCUCUGUUUCUAUUUUCGCUUAUCAGAUCACUUUUUUUUCUUUUUUUUUCUGAACAAUAAAAGAUGCUAUUUCAUUAAAACUGUCAAUGUAGUUUGUUGUUUCUUUGUGCCUUCGUAAGUGACGAAGAUGUCUGACCUUCCACCAUUUUUUUAGCUUAGCAGGAAGCUCUCCAUAAAUUCUGCUUUUACAUUUUUGUUAUAGAUUUUAUUGUAAAUGCAAAAAUAUUUCAUAAAAAUAACACUUAUCUAAUGAUAUCAAUUAUUUUCAUUCAAAUAUUUAAUUUUUAUUUCCUUAACACAAUCUAAUAAUAAAUAAAUGUAUUUAAAUAAUAUUUAAAACGAAGAUCUCAAGGGCAUUCCAUAGCUUUGUCCUUUAAUAAGAUAUCUCAUGAAAAAAUAAGUUAAUUUAUGUUUUUGGUAUUUUUCUUCUUAAGAAGAAUAAAAAUAAAAAUAAGAAUAAGAAUAAGCCUAUGGUUAUCUAAUUUCAAAAUCACGAAGGGAUUUAGAGGCUCAAAUCCUAAAAAAAAAAAAAAAACUAAAUAGAAAAAAAAUUAUAAAUCAACUAAUAAAAUAUUAAGUCUAGAUAUUUUUUUUGGUUUUAUUUGAAAGUCUUGUUGAUUUUAAAUGAUUACAAAAUUCUAAUUUUAUAGAAAAUAAAGCUUUUAAAAUUUUCUAAUAAAAUUUGAGUUGGAUUAAGAUAAAAAAAAAUAAAAUUAUGCCCUUUACAAGAUUGCUUAUAUUUUAAAAAAUAUCAUAUAUUAAUCGUCUCGAAUUCAAAUUGUUGUUGCUUCAAUUUCGCAAGUAUCAAAUUAAAAAUCUCAAACCUUUUGCACGUGCAGGCAACAUUCCCAGCCUUCUCGGUAUUAAGAGUUCUUAUGGCAGCUUAUGACAGCUUUAUUGUCAUAAUACAACUUCGUUGGCAUAUUCAUCGGCAUUCACAGUUCUUCAAGAAUUCUCUUCAGCCAUAACAUUUCACAAACUCCAUUUUCAUAACCUUAUAUUCUACUUGAGCACUGCUUCUUCCAACCAUAUUUUGUUUCUUACUUUGCCAUGUAACCAUAGAUUUAAGUACAAUAUUCUAAUGUGGAUCUUCUAUCAAUAACUAAACCUGCCCAUUCUACAUCAGCUUCAAGAUGUUUUGCAUGGGGUGAAUGCAAACCCAGCAUUUGUAUUCCAAACAAAAAGCAAUAACAUGAUAAUUCAAUUAAGGUUAGGAAUUUUUUUUUUAAUAUAAUUAAUAAAAAUUUCAGCAGAGUUUUCUUUAUAUUUUUAGAUAUCAAGAUAUUAACUUUUUUUCUGUAAUCCUCAAUAAUCAAAUUUUUUACUCGUUUUAUAAUUCAAGACUGAUUGUGUAAAGAUAGAUAUAGUGAUCGCAUAAAAUAUCUUACUAAACUCACAAUAAAUGUAAUAUUAGAUCAUGUUUGUGAUAAGUAAAUCAGCUCUCCCACUAACUUUUGAUACUGUGUUGUAUUCACACUAGAUCACCUUCCUUGUCAUCUUCAAGUUUCUGAUUGGGAUCUAUUGGAGUGUCUGCUAGCCUACAACCACUCAUCCCAGUCUCCUUAAGAACAUCAAGGACACACUGCUGCUGUUGGGAUAUAACGAUCCCCUUCUUCGACAGAACAAUCUCUAAUCCAAGAAAAUCCUUAAUCUCUAUUUCAAUGGCAUAUGGGUGAUUAUUAGAUUGAAAGGUUUUCCUUCUUUGAGAGAACCUUUUUUAAAGUGAAAUAAACACAACUUUCAGUUUAUACGUUGCUUGUAAGAAUAGCACAUAUGAGUAUGAUUUUGAGAUUUGAAAGAACUCCUUGUUUAAGAGGAAAUUGGACUUUGUCAUGUGAAAUGAACACCUUUUCAAUUUAUACCCUGCAGAAAAUGAACAUCUAAUUAUUUGUCUAGCAAAGUAGCUUCAGUUGAAGAUUGCCUGUCUCACUUGCAAUGCAUGUGGCACUGAUUUGUUGAAGAUUAUUACCAGCAGACGUCACAUCUGUUGCAUUUCUUCAUUCAGCUAACCCAGUCUCACAAAAUUUUCCCUGUGUUUAGAAAGUUUCACCAAAACAAUAAAGCUAAAAAUGUCAUUACAAUUUCCUAGUAGAUAUUCAACUUUGCUAUGAGUUUUCAAAACAUGAUAAAAAGAUUUCUAUUUUUUUAUUCUGUUCAAGCAACAUUGACAUGGCAAUAAGCUAGCAUUGCACUGUUAUGGAUCAUGGCGAUUUGAUUUGUUUUUCAAUUUACAAUUUAGUCAAAUUCAAAGAAAACUUACACACAAAAAAGGAAAUAACCUGUUCAAAAUCUAAUUAGAAAUAAACUUCAUUUUGAUAUAUGGAAACUGAUUAUAAUGAUAACAUGACCAUUGAAACCUAAAAACAUAAAUUUGUUAAUUAAGAAAUGCUAGGAAAACUUUUUUUUUUUUUUACUAAUAUUUGUUUAUCAAUAAAAAUAAAAGGCAUCUAAAGUUUUUGCCAUUUACAAAAUUUUACAACACAUUGAGCCAUGAAAGUUGCCUGUUUUGGAAUGAGUCUAGAGAGGUCUUUGAAAUUGCAGUGAGACCUGAUUUAAAAAAAAAAAAUUUAAUUUUAAAUUUAAUUUUUUAUAUUUUUAUAUACAUAUUGUAUCGGUAUUAUAAAUAAAAUUUAAAAAAUAUAUAAUAAAAAUUUUAAUCCAUUCAAAAAUAAUAAUAAUAAUAAUUACCACUAUCUUAUACCACAUCCACAUAGCAUCGGUUUUGCUUUGAAAACAACUUGGCGACUGAAUGGUGGUCUAGUUAAACGUAUUUUUCUAAUCAGUGAUUUUUCUUUUAAAUUCAAGACGGUUGGCAUGUACUUGUGCUUCGUUAUCUUAUUUAAUUUUUUAUUCUAUAGUAAAAAGGUAUUUUUUUUAUUAGUUUAUAUGUCAAUCAUGAUUGAGUUUUUUAUUCAAAUGAUUUUAAGGAUAAACAAUUUAAAGUUAUGAAUCAUCGAACAAUCCAUUUAAAGUUAUAUAAUUAUGUUGUGAUGUAUCUUAAAUCAAAUAAAAAUUAUACUAGAUUAUUAACAUUUUUUAAUAAAUAUAAAAGAAAUAUUCAAACAUUACUAAUAUAUUUUUAAACAAAAAAAAAUUUAAAUAAUAUGAGGGUUAAUUUGAUAUAAUUUGGUUGAUUUUACAAGUUUACAAGUAAUCUAUAUAACCCGAAAAAACAUAAUUUGAUUAAAAAAAAAUUUAAGAUGAUAUAUUUUUUUAAUAUUAAGAUAAAAAUAUAUUAAAUUAUUUUAUUAAAUUAAAUCCAAAAAAAGUGAGUUUUUUUAACAGAAGCAAGAAAAACAUUUUUUUGUAAUGAUUUAUGUGCACAUUAAAAUGUGUUUUAUAUACUUGAUUUGGUUCUUGAUCUAUAGUAAUGAACCGGCUUUAUUUAAAAAUUUCUCAAAAAAUAAAAUUGCGUUGAACAAAUUAAUAAAACUACGCUAUCUCUUCUUUUUUUAUAUAUAUUAAAUGAUUGGUUAAAGAUGAAAUAAAUAAUUCUAUAUUAUUUGUUUGUACGUAUUACUUUUAAGCAUAGACUCUUUUAUUUGGUGAUAUAUAUUUUUAUCUAUGUUGUUUGCCUUUUUUUUCUGUUGUGUUUUUAUUCAUUGACAAUCGAGGCUCAAGAUGUCAAUUGGAUUUUAUUUGUUGUGAGCCAAUCUUUUAUUUUUAAUGAGAUCAUGUAUUUUUAAAAUUCAUCUUGAUGUCUUACUAUGCAUUUACACAUCACUUUCCGCUUUUAGGAACUCUGAAAGUGGAUCCUCCACAACAACAACUGCAUUUUACAUUGAGAAUGAAUGGCCAAAAUUUAAAGAAUACAUAGUGGCUGUAGAAGAUGAGGAAUGGGAGGAGGAAAACAUAUGGGAAUUCACAAAAUUAAUAGAACAACACGAACAGGCUUGGAGGCCCGCUAAAGAGGAACUUGAAACCAUAAAUGUAGGCAAUGAAGAAAUCAAACGAGAGCUGAAGAUAGGGACUUUGAUCACCCCUGCAGCAAAGGAAGAGUUGAUUGCACUGCUCAAAGAUUAUGUGGAUGUCUUUGCCUGGUCCUACGAGGAUAUGCCUGGUUUGGAUACAGACAUUGUGGUACAUAAAAUACCACUGAUGGAAGGAUGCAAGCCGAUCAAACAGAAGUUAAGGAGAACUCAUCCAGAGAUCUUAAUCAAAGUAAAGGCGGAAAUUGAAAAACAAUGGGACGCCGGUUUUUUGGAAGUAGUGAAGUAUCCACAAUGGGUGUCAAAUAUAGUGGUGGUACCCAAAAAGGAAGGUAAAAUCAGAGUUUGCAUGGACUUUAGGGACUUAAACCGGGCUAGCCCUAAAGAUAAUUUCCCUUUACCACACAUAGAUAUGUUAGUUGAUAAUGCAGCACGCAGCUCCACAUAUUCUUUCAUGGAUGGGUUUUCAGGCUACAAUCAGAUAAGAAUGGCGCCAGAGGAUAGGGAGAAGACAACCUUUGUAACACCAUGGGGAACCUUUUGCUACAAAGUCAUGCCAUUUGGUUUAAAGAAUGCUGGGGCCACUUACCAAAGGGCUAUGGUGACUUUGUUUCACGACAUGAUGCACAAAGAGAUUGAAGUAUACGUGGAUGACAUGGUUGCUAAAUCUAAAGAGGGAGAGAAUCAUGUCCAAGUAUUGAAGAAAUUAUUUGAAAGAUUAAGGAAAUAUAAGUUGAGGCUUAACCCAGCAAAGUGUUCAUUCGGGGUGAAAUCCGGUAAGCUGUUGGGAUUUGUGGUGAGUGACAAAGGGAUAGAAGUGGAUCCUGAAAAAGUAAAAGCUAUUCAAUCUAUGCCACCCCCAAGACUGAGAAGGAGGUGAGAGGUUUCUUAGGAAGGUUGAAUUACAUCGCUCGGUUUAUAUCCCAUUUAACCGCGACUUGUGACCCGAUCUUUCGUUUGUUGAGGAAGAAGAACCCUGGAAUAUGGAAUGAAGAGUGUGAUAAAGCUUUUGAGAAAAUCAAGCAGUACUUGCUAAAUCCACCUCUGCUUGUUCCUCCCGUACCAGAAAGGCCAUUGAUUUUAUACCUAACAGUAACCGAAACAGCAAUGGGAUGUGUGCUUGGGCAACAUGAUGAAACCGGAAGGAAGGAAAGGGCCAUUUAUUACCUAAGCAAGAAGUUCACGGAAUAUGAGUCUAGGUAUACUGUGAUUGAGAAGCUGUUGUGCACUAGCAUGGGCUACAAAGAGAUUACGUCAGUAUAUGUUGUAUCACACUACAUGGUUAAUUUCCAAGUUAGACCCGUUAAGGUACAUUUGUGAAAAGCCUUAUCUAUCUAGCCGAAUUGCAAGAUGGCAAGUUCUUUUGGCUGAGUAUGACAUAGUAUAUAUGACAAGGAAAGCCGUGAAAGGGAGUGUUAUUGCCGAUCACCUGGCUGACCAUGCUAUGGAAGAUUAUGAGCCGUUAAACUUUGACUUUCCCGAUGAAGAUGUGUUUGCAAUCGAGGAAGAGAAAUCAGAUUGGUGGGUUAUGUACUUUGAUGGUGCUGUAAAUGUAUGUGGUAACGGAGCGGGGGCAGUGAUAAUCUCUCCUGAUAAGAAGCAGUAUCCGGUUUCAGUUAAGCUGCAGUUCGGGUGCACCAACAACACGGCUGAGUAUGAAGCUUGCAUUCUUGGUUUAGAGGCUGCAUUAGAGAUGAACAUAAAAAGAUAGAUGUGUAUGGAGAUCAAUGCUGAUCAUUUGCCAAGUAAAAGGAGAAUGGCAAACCAAAGAAGAGAAGUUAAGGCCUUACCAAGAAUACCUGUCUAAGCUGCUAAAGAAUUUGAGGAAAUAGAGUUCACCCAUCUGGGAAGGGAAGGGAACCAGUUUGCAGAUGCUUUGGCCACACUAGCAUCUAUGGCCAAGAUAGACUUUGGGCACAAGGUACAGCCAGUACACAUCAAUAUCAGAAAUAACCCCGCUCAUUGUUGCUCAGUCGAAAGAGAAGUGGAUGGAAACCCGUGGUACUAUGAUAUCAAGAAUUUCAUCCAAAACCAGGCAUAUCCCAUGGGGGCAUCCAAAAUCGACAAGAAGACCUUGAGAAGGUUGGCAAUGGAUUUUUAUCUUGAUGGGGAGAUUUUGUAUAAGAAAUCAUCUGACGGGACUUUGUUGAGAUGUUUGGAUGAAUUUGAGGCAAAAAGCACAGUACGGGAAGUCCAUGAAGGGAUUUGCUCAACUCAUGCUAGUGGACAUGUGAUGGCCAGGAAGAUACAAAGAGCCGGGUACUUCUGGAUGACGUUAGAGAAGGAUUGUAUCGAUUAUGUCCGGAAAUGUCAUAAGUGCCAAGUAUACAGUGACAAAAUCAAUGCUCCUCCGGCUCCUCUGUUUAAUUUAACAUCUCCAUGGCCUUCGCGAUGUGGGGAAUUGAUGUGAUUGGACCGGUAAACCCAAAAGCCAGCAAUGGUCAUAGGUUUAUUCUCGUGGCUAUCGACUACUUCACAAAAUGGGUAGAAGCUGGGUCAUUUGCUCAUGUGACGCAAAAAGUGGUGAAGAAAUUUAUUGAGAGAGAUUUGAUAUGUCGGUAUGGUCCACCAGAAAAGAUUAUAACUGAUAACGCCCAGAAUUUCAACGGCAAGAUGAUAAUAGAGCUCUGCACUAAAUGGAAAAUCAAGCAUUCCAAUUCUUCGCCAUAUAGACCAAAGAUGAAUGGUGCGGUAGAAGCUGCUAACAAGAAUGUCAAAAAGAUUAUUCAGAAGAUGGUAGUCACCUAUAAGGAUUGGCAUGAGAUGUUGCCAUUUGCCCUUCAUGCAUAUCGCACCGCAGUUCGAACCUCAACAGGAGCCACCCCGUAUAUGUUGGUAUAUGGAAUGGAGGCGGUGAUGCCUUUAGAAGUGGAAAUCCCAUCAUUGAGAGUGUUGUUAGACUCUGAGCUGGAAGAGGUAGAAUGGGCAAAGGUUAGAUAUGAACAGUUGAAUCUGAUCAGUGAAAAGAGGAUAGCCGCGAUCUGUCAUCAUCAACUCUACCAAAGAAGGAUGGCUAAAUCAUAUGACAAGAAGGUUCGACCUCGAGGAUUCCACGAAGGAGAUCUUGUACUAAAGAAAAUAUUACCUUUACCUGGAGAAGAUCAGAGUAAAUGGGCACCUAACUACGAGGGGCCUUACGUGGUGAGGAAAGCAUUCUCAGGAGGAGCUUUGUUACUGUCUAGAAUGGAUGGAGAAGAUCUAGUUAGGCCUGUGAAUUCUGACUCUGUAAAGAAAUACUACGCUUGAUGUAUUUCGUAAUUUCCCAGUCAAUAAAAUAAAUUUCGGCCAUGAAUUCUCUUUGUAAAGAGUCCUUUUAUAUAUAUAUAUAUAUAUAUAUAUAUAUAUAUCAUAUGAUCUCAUAGCAUUUGAAAUCUUUUGUUUAAAAGAACUUUUUAUGGCAUGACUAAGAAAAUGACUCCAUCAAUUGGAGAACCAAAUCAAAUCUACUUGACAUAUAGUUGCACAUCACACUAGGGGGCAAAAGGUGCACGAAGUGCACAUAAGGGUCUAUAGUAAACCCAAGCCCAAAAGGGGUAUCAUAAUAAAAACUUCUAAAAAAGCAUCUUUUAUAAGAUUUGCUAAUUGCAUUAAAAGUUUCAGUUUUCAUGAACAAAACCAAUUUUUUCCUUUGGCACAAAACUCAAUGGAGCAAGAAAGGGCCCCAUGAGAAAAGCUUGAAACAAGAGCGAAGAGGUUUACGACGAAAGGGGGACCUAUGUUUCCAAGAUAGGUAACAAAAACAUACAUGCAUAUUAACCAUAAUACAUUGCUUUCAACAUUUGUCAGAUCGGGAUUUCAUCACCAUUUCUCAGGUAGCGCGUUUUCUAAACCCUAUCUCUUUUCGAGUGCGUUGUAUGAGCCCUCACUUUUUGGGUAGUGCGUUUUCUAACCCUAUCUCUUUUCGAGUGCGCUGUUUGAGCCCUCACUUCUUGGGUAGUGCAUUUUCUAACCCUACCUCUUUUUCGAGUGCGCUGUUUGAGCCCUCAUUUCUCAGGUAGUGCGUUUUCUAAAACCCUACCUCAUUUCGAGUGCGCCUUUGAGCCCUCACCAACAUUUUCUGGGUAGGUCACCCAUUACAACGCGACCAUUUUUUCCAAUUUUUUUUUUACUUGGGCAGGUCACCCAUAAGAAUGAGGCCAUUCCUUCCCCUGGGUAGGUCACCCAAAGAAUGAGACCACACUUUCUUUUUCCUUGGGUAGGUCACCCAUCACAAUGAGACCAUGUUUUUUUUUUGGGUAGGUCACCCAUCACAAUGAGACCAUUCUCCAUCUUUUUUUACCUGGGUAGGUCACCCAUAAGAAUGAGGCCAUUCCUUCCCCUGGGUAGGUCACCCAAAGAAUGAGACCACUCUUCCUUUUUCCUUGGGUAGGUCACCCAUCACAAUAAGACCAUAUUUUUUCUGGGUAGGUCACCCAUAAGAAUGAGACCAUUCUCCAUUUUUUAUUUAUCUGGGUAGGUCACCCAUAAGAAUGAGGUCAUUCCUUCCCCUGGGUAGGUCACCCAAAGAAUGAGACCACUCUUUCUCUUUUCCACUCGGGCAGGUCACCCAUCAUAAUGAGACCACACACACAUUUUUUGUAUUGGUUAUGAGUAAAGGAAUCGCCGGAUGGGAUUCCAGGUUAAAGGAGAUCACCAGAUGGGAUCUCGGAUGGAUUUCCAUGAUUGAUAAAACUAAAGUAAGAAUUCAGAGGAUCGAUGGAUAAGGAUCUCGAUAUAACUAAGUUUUGAUCAUAGUUUUUGGGCUAAGGAGGUUUGUUGUAAAAGACAAAGUUUCAGAUCAAUUAAGCUUCGAACAGAUUAGUUUCGGGAGUUCCGUUUUGGGUUUAUCUUUAUAACACUUACUGCGCAAAACCCAUGCUCCGUAAGUAUUAUAAAGAGGGGGCAUCUGUUGUAACCCAUUUUUGGGUCCCCAUAAAAAAUAAAAUAAAUAGCCAAAAGAGUUUAGAAAAAAUAACAGGAGGCAGAAGCGCUCAGGAAACAGUCAGAAAAUUGGUCAAGGAAUUUAAAAAUACAAGGAUUGAAUUUUUUACAGUAUAUUCUUGAAGGAUGAAAGCCCUAUUGAGAAGGAAAAAUUUGAAUUUUGAGGAGAAAAGCCCAAAUUUGGAUGUUUAUGGACUUAAUUGGAUUUUAUAUGAUUUAUAGAAGAUUUGAUUGCAAGAAAAAUUGAUUUUUAAGUCAAUUUGGGCUUAAUUUGAAGAAAUUUAAGUUCUGGGGCCAAAUAUAUUUUUUUAGGGUCAAAUCAGGGGCUUAAUUGCAUAAAUAUUGAAGUUUAAUGGCCAAUUAGGGACUUAAUUGUGAAAUCCGAAACCAGGGACCAAUUUGGAGAAGGCGCAAAGAUAGAGGGGCUGUUGGUUGUUUCAGGGCUUAAUUGAAGAAUUGGAAGUUUAUUGAUCAAUUAAGGGCUUAAUUAUGAAAAUCAGAGGCCAAGGACCAAAGUGAAAACGCGGCCAACUAUAGAGGUAGGGACCGAAUUUGGCAGGGACGCAAUUGAAUUUUAUUCUUGAUUGAAGGACUCGAUUGAAGGACUUAAUAGAAAAAUGACAAAUUAGGGACUGAUUUAAAAACAAAGUUUCUCUGGCGCCUUUAUUUUAAAAUGAAACGGCGCGUUUUGUCCAAAACGACGCCGUUAUGCAUAAAUAAAAAAAAAAAAAAAAAAGAGACCGAACGGUGCCGUUUUGAACGGCACUGUUCACUGUCUUCUUCCCCCCCGAAGAUUACAGCGGGGAAGAAGGAAAAGUUUGUAUUUUUUUUGCAGGUCCCUCUUGCCACCGACCGAGGCCCCACGCCGGUGGGCCACCGACAGAAAACAAUGGCCGACAACCUGCCUCGUUGCCGAAGCCGAGGGAGGCCCGCCGCUCCUCGACCCGCUCCGGGGCUCCACGUUGAAGUCACGCCAUGGUUCUAUAAAUAGAGAACCGAAAGGGAGAACAAGGGACGAACGAAAAAAAAAAAAGAAAGGAGAGGAACCCCGAAACAAAAAAAAAACGAAGAGAGAGAGGAAGAGAGAGAAACACUGUAACAGAGGAGAGAGAGCCACUGAAAACCCAAGAAAACCGAGAGCAAAGGGAGGUUUGAAGCCGGGAGGGAAUUUAAGAAAACAAAACCAACCCAACGAGCCGAGAGGACGUCGCCGGGCCACUUGGAAUUCGCCGUGAGAAGCCGCCGUCCGUGAAGCUAGGACACUGCCACCACCACCGCAGCCCCGCCAGCAAACCACCUCCUCCACCGCACCAGGUACGCCUCCUUUCCUCCCCCUGCAUUUUUUUUAAUCUAUAUCAGUUUUGCCUCCUGCAUGCAGGAGGCGGGGGGGGGGGAAUAAUUCCCCCCCCCCCCGUGCUCUUUUUUUUAUUUCUCUGGGACAGAUUGUGUCUGGCCCAGACCGAGGUUAAUUAGUUUGUUGGGCCGAGAUCGGCCCAGUCCCUGUUGGGCCGAGAUCGGCCCAACGACUUUUGGGGCUGGGUCCGGCCCAGUUUAGUUGGGCCGGCCCAGCCCCUUUUAAAUAUAUAAAUAUAUUAUAAUUAUAUUAUAUUAUUAUUAUUAUUAUAUGUGUGUGUAUAUAUAUAUAUAUGUUUUUUUUUGAAAAAAAUUUGAAAAAUCUAAAAAAAAUUGUUGUUAUUUUCUUUUCAUAUAAAUAUAUUUUUGUUUUAUACAUUUGGUUUGUAUUUUUAUACUGUAAAGAUACAAAACCAGUGUUAAAAAUACCCGGUUCUCGUCAAAACAUCAAAGAUUUUUCAUAAUAAAAAAUGUUUUUGCUUUCAAAAAAAUUCUAAAAGGUCCCUAAAAAUAUUGUUGAUUUUUCUGCAUAUUUUUAUCAAAGCGGAUUAAUAUUGGGUUGUAUUUUUAUACCGUAAGGAUACAAGCUCAGUAUUAAAAUACUCGAUUUUCAUCAAAGCAUAAAAAAAAAAUAUAUUUUCCAAAAAUUGUUUUUUUUUGUUUUAAAAUACGGCCUAGUCUCUCCAAUAUAUAUAUAUAUAAAUAUUAUAACAUCAUAUUUUCACACAACGAAGAAAAUUUUCAAAACAAUAUAUGUAUUAACAUGUAUUUUGGCUUUAAUAACCAGUUUAUUCAAGCCAUGAGAACUAGGCCAAUAUUUCAAAAAUUCUAAAAAAUCUUUUUUGUUUUCUUUUAGUAUUUGGGAUUACGAAUUUAUACAUAAAACGUAUUCCUAAAUAUUAUUAAUAAAGUUUUGGGUAUAGACGUUAGAACGGUUAGGAUUUUACCCGAUAAGAUAAAAGACCUUCUUACCGAGGAGGAUUUUUCUUGAACCAUAGACAGACCAACGACUAGAAGUAUAAUAACACUUUAGUUUUUAUCAGACAAUAAAACAAUGCAGCUUACCUUAGGUAGGGCGUAUUUGGGGUGCUAAUACCUUCCCUUUACGCAACCAGUCUCCGUACCCGAUCUCUGAGACCAGUUAGGGUUCCUAGUGACCAAAAUACUAGAUGGCGACUCCAAAAAAUCAAACCAAAUAAAAAAAUUCGCCAGUCGAACCCGCAAUUGAAAAAUUGGUUUUUUUUAGGGUGCAACACUUUUUAUCAGAUCUUGUGAAAAUACUGGUUUAUUAUUUCUUGUUCUCGUAUAACAGUAGAGGGUUAUAUAUAUACAAAGCCUAGAAAGCUAUUUUAGGAAUAUUACUACGGGCCUAUAAUCUUGCAGAAUUAAAUACAAUGAAUCAAACUAAUUAGGAAUACACAGCUCAUUGACACUCCCCCUCAAGUUGGAGCAUAUAUGUUGCUCAUGCCCAACUUGCUAAGUGAGUUGUGAAAUACUUUGCCUGUGACAACUUUGGUGAGGACAUCUGCAAGUUGAUCUUUGGAUUUAACAAAGGACACCUCGAUGAUCUUUGCCUCGAGUUUUUCCUUGAUGAAAUGUCUAUCAACUUCAACAUGUUUGGUUCUAUCAUGUUGUACUGGAUUAUGUGCAAUAUCUAUUGCAGCUUUGUUGUCACAAUUCAAUUGCAUGGCAUGAUUGGGUUUGAACCCCAAUUCCCCUAAUAAAUUCCUUAUCCAGAGUAGCUCACAUACUUCGUGUGCCAUACCUCGAUAUUCUGCUUCAGCACUUGAUCUUGACACUACGUUCUGUUUUUUACUUCGCCAAGAUACUAGAUUGCCUCCCACAAAGGUAAAAUAUCCAGAUGUAGAUCGUCUGUCAGUAAUAGAGCCUGCCCAGUCUGCAUCGGUGUGACCCUCGAUAUCUAAAUGACCAUGUCGUGAGAACAUCAAUCCUCUUCCAGGAGCUGACUUCAAGUAUCUCAGAAUUCGGUUUACUGCAUCCAUGUAGGCUUCACUUGGUGCAUGCAUGAACUGACUUACCACACUUACAGCAUAUGCUAUAUCAGGUCUAGUGUGUCCCAAAUAAAUCAACUUACCUACAAGGCGUUGAUAUCUUCCUUUGUUGGUGGGUACCUGAUUAGGAUAUUCACCAAGUUGAUGAUUCAACUCCAUUGGCGUGUCUGCUGGUUUACUAGCUAACAUUCCAGUGUCAGUUAAAAUAUCAAGGAUAUAUUUCCGUUGUGAUAGAAAUAUUCCUUGUUUAGAACGAGCCACUUCGAUGCCUAAAAAAUACUUUAGAGCACCAAGAUCUUUCAUUUCAAACUCACUUGCCAAGUGCCGCUGCAGUGCUGCCUUUUCCUCCGGGUCAUUCCCUGUAACUACCAUAUCAUCAACAUAUACAAUAAGGGCAGUGACUUUACCUUUCUUAUGUUUCAAGAAAAGUGUAUGAUCUGAGUUACUUUGCUUGUAUCCGAACCCUUUCAUUGACUUGCUGAACUUUCCAAACCAUGCUCUAGGUGAUUGUUUCAAUCCAUAAAGAUACUUUCUUAGUUUACACACCAUGUUGCCUUUAUCAGGUCCCAUCUUGCAUCCCGGAGGGGGAUCCAUAUAGACUUCCUCUUCUAGAUCACCAUGCAAAAAUGCAUUUUUGACAUCAAACUGGUGUAAUGGCCAAUCUAGGUUUGCUGCCAGAGAAAGAAGUACUCGAAUUGUGUUAAUCUUGGCUACAGGAGCAAAUGUCUCCCCAUAAUCAAUCCCAUAAGUCUGAGUGUAUCCUUUCGCCACCAAUCUUGCUUUGUAUCGCUCAAUGGAGCCAUCUGCCUUGAACUUUACUGUAUAUAUCCAUCUACAACCCACUGUUCUCUUUCCUUUUGGAAGGAUAGUCAUCUCCCAAGUGGAAUUCUUCUGAAGGGACUCCAUUUCAUCAUUCAUUGCUUGGGACCACUUGGGAUCUUUCAAAGCUUCCUGCACAUUACUUGGAAUAGAUACAGUGGAUAAUUGACAUACAAAUGAUGCACAUGACAGAGAUAGCCUAUGUAGGGACACAUGAUUAGCAAUAGGGUAUUUAACAUUUGUUUUAAGGUCAGGGUCAUAUUGUUGUCUAGGAAUACCUCUAGUCGUACGAGGAGGUAGUUGAUAACUUGUGUUUCCUGUAUUACUUGACUCAGGUAGAGUGAUUGAGUUGGAGUUUGAAUGUUUAAUUACCUGUGGGAAAUCAUCAGGACCUGAUUGGAUGUAUGGUGAUGGUACUGUAGUAGGAGUUGUAGAGGGGAAAUUAUCUGAACUAGUACCAGCAUCUGGAGUUCUUAGUGACUCUUGAUCUUGUUGCACCACUAUAACUAGUUGUUCGGAAUCUGAUUGCUCAGUACCAGCAUCUAGAGUUCUUAGUAACUCCUAUUCUUGUUGCACCAUUGUAACUGGUUGUUCAGACACCGACUGCUCUAAAACCUUUUGUUGAAUUUGGAUCUGAGUAUCUUUUGCAAAGAUAGAGCUCUCCCCCUACAGAGGAUGCUUAGAGACUCCCCCUGAGUAAUAGAACUCACUCUCGUGGAAAGUCACAUCUGCAGUAAUGUGCAAGGUUUGAGUAGGAGGAUGGAAACAUUUAUAGCCCUUCUGAGUAUCAGCAUAACCCACAAAGACACAACGCAGAGCACAUGGAUCAAGCUUGCCACGUUGGUGUGGAUAUAACUGAACAUAAACAACACAUCCAAAGAUACAUGGUUCGAGAUUUGGUGUAGAUGGCAUGGUGGGGAGAGUGGUCAAUGUCUGAAAUGGAGUUUUAUACUGAAGAGUGCUAGAUGGUGUUCUAUUAAUGAGGUAAGCAGCAGAACAAAGAGCCUCCCCCAAAAAAUAAUGAGGUAAACUGGCCUCAAAUAAAGAGGCACGAACAACUUCCAAGAGAUGUCGAUUAUUACGCUCUGCGACACCAUUCUGUUGUGGUGUAUAUGCACAUGUGGUGUGAUGAACAAUACCAUGUUGACUUAAAAAAUUAUGAAGGUCAUUGUUGACAUAUUCUCCUCCAUUGUCAGACCGGAGGGUCAUGAUUUUCUUGUCAAACUGAGUAGCAACAUAUUGAUAAAAUAGUUUGAAUUUGAUGGUAACUUCACUUUUCUGUCUUAAAAGAAACACCCAGGUCAUCCGAGUGCAAUCAUCAAUAAACGUCAUAAACCACUUAUAACCAGUAAUAGUAGGAACUCGUGAUGGUCCCCAAACAUCAGAAUGAACAAUCAUGAAAGGCAUGGAACUUUUAUUCAACCUUAAUGGGUAAGAAAUGCGAUGACUUUUCGCCAAAAUGCAAGUUUCACAAUGAAAGUCUGAUUCAAUAAACUGAGAAAACAAAUCUGGAAAUAGAAGUUUCAGAUAACCAAACGAGGCAUGCCCUAAUCGUCGAUGCCAUAACCAAAUUUUCUUCAUUCUGAUGGACUCACCUCCUCUCACAUGAUGUGCAUGACUCAAUCUCUUAGUUAUGUCAUCUGUCAAGUCCAGAUAAUAUAAUUUUCCCCUCCUAGUACCACAUUCAAUCACGGCCUUGCUGAGAAGAUCCUGAAAUAGACAAUAUAAUGGCCAAAAACACACGGUGCAAUUAAGGGAAUCAAUGAUCUGAGGAACAGAUAACAAGUCAUAGUCCAGUGAAGGGACAACUAAGACAUGAUCAAGACUUAAUGAGGAUGUGAGAGAUAAGGACCCUUCUCUCAUAACUCGGGAGGUGGUGCCAUUGGUACUAACAAUAUGUGUUUGGCUGGAAGGUGUGGCAGAGUGUAACCCAAUAAAACUAGAUGUCAUGUGAUUAGUGGCACCAAUGUCAAUAAUCCAUGAUCUAUUACAAGUAAGUGAAGAUGUGCAAGAGUUACCUGAGGUGGCCAAGGCCUUGGAGUCAGUUGUACCUGAUGGAGUUUCUAAUGUAGUCUCCUGAGAUGAUUGGGCAGAUGCAAAUGAUGCUCGGUUUGAGUCCCUCUUGCGCCUUUUGUGAACCCAUCCUUCUGGAUAACCAAUGAUCUCAUAACAGCCCUUAAUUGUGUGAUUAUCUAAACCACAUUUGGUAUAUUUCAUUGGUGGUCGGUUACGAGCAGGGUCAACGUUAUAGCUAUGCAGCCGAGAUUGUUUUACCCUUGCACCAGCCAAGGCUGUGGCUGCGUUGGUUGCACCAGCUUCAGACAUGGUUCCUUGUUUGUUACUUUCCCUUUUAAUAUGUGCGUAUGCACCCUCAAGUUCUGGUUUAGGCUCCAUCCUCAAAAUCUCUCCUCGAAUUUCAUCAAAAUUAUUGUCUAAACCUGCAAGAAAUAUGUAAACUCGAAGACGAUCAACCUCUUUCCGUCUAAUUUCAAUGUCUGAUGGAUGCUCCAUUGUGCUUGGAUUUAAUUGAUCAAGCUCCUGAAAAAUCUCAGUAAGCUCACUGUAAUACUUGGCAACUGAUGCACCAGCUUGUCUCAUUAUGAAUGAUCUUCUGUGCAGGUCAUAAAUCUUAGCUUCAUCAGCACCAUCUGAAUAGGUUUGCUUGAUUGCAUCCCAGACUUGCUUUGCUGUGUCAUAACGAAUAAACCUUUUAAUUUGAUUAGGCUGCAUGGCAUCAAACAACCAACUCUUGACUUGGCAGUCUGAUGCUCGCCAUUUAUUAAAUGUGGAAUUUGUGACUGCAGGCUGGGCAAUAUCACCAGUCAGAUGGCCAUGCUUUUCUCGCCCAGCUAUCUUCAUCUCUAUGAUUUGAUGCCAUAAAGAAUAGUUAUUCUCAUCAAGUUUUAUUCCUGCAGAGAAGUUGGAGGUGUCACUCUGCAAUGUGACUAUUUGUGUGGUAGUGUUGGAGUCUCCUGACAUGAAAGAUUGAUUAGUGUUUGUUGAACAAUCAUCAUCGGCCAUGAUAUUGGCUUACAAGUGAUGAGAGAAAGGAGAAAGAACAGAGUAAUUUGACUAAUGUAACAAAAAAAAAAAGAGCAAGUAGAGUAAUUUGGUUGAGGGAACGGUGAAAGGUGAUUUAGUAUUUCUUUUGACUUGUGGGUUGGAAUGUGAAUAAUCUGACUGUGUGGAUGAUGGUUGCUGCUGCGAAGGGUUCUGUUGGGUUUGUAUGACGGCUGCUGUUGCGGAAACGAUUUAUAAAAUUAGGGCAAGAGACAGUCAAGAUCGACUGCUCUGAUACCAUAUCAGAUCUUGUGAAAAUACUGGUUUAUUAUUUCUUGUUCUCGUAUAACAGCAGAGGGUUAUAUAUAUACAAAGCCUAGAAAGCUAUUUUAGAAAUAUUACUACGGGCCUAUAAUCCUGCAGAAUUAGAUACAAUGAAUCAAACUAAUUAGGAAUACACAGCUCAUUGACACUUUUCAACCGGGUUUUUUGGAAGUUGAUAGUCAGGCACAUCAUUUUGCCCACAAGGAUCACCCAUUGAUUUUGAAUGAAGAGCAAGAAUAUCAUGGUGAAGGAGUAAAGUGCUUCGUGUGCACGGAACCAAUGUCUGGUCCUAGCUAUAGUUGCAUUUCUCGCAACUUGUUUCUUCACAAGAAGUGUGCUGAGCUACCCCCGGAGAUCAAGAGGCACAUUCAUCCAGAACACCCUCUUCGUCUACUGCCAAAUCAUGAUACGAUGUGUGAUUUUUGCAACGAAACUUGCUAUGAGAGUUUUGUUUACUGCUGUCUUGUGUGCGAAUUCAACCUCCAUAUCAAAUGUGCUUUUCCACCGUGCGUUUAUGCAGCUGAUCAGGAUCAAAGGCAUCUAUUUAGACGCCUACUGAAUCCACUUUCAUUCAAAUCAAUCUCCUUCACCUGCAAUGCAUGUGGCACAGAUGGAGAUGGCUCCCCUUUCAUGUGCACCUUGUGCCAUCUCGUGGUCCACGAAGAAUGCAUUUCAUUGCACUGCACCAUCAUCCCCAAAUCAUCCACACAUAUCAACUUCAACAAUGCAUCGAAUCUAUAAACAGGUACUGUUGAAUUUGCCUUCGGGAAGUUGACUCAAAUUACGGAGUUUACUAUUGCCCGGACUGUGACUUCGUUGCACACGUGAAUUGUAGUAGAGAAUAUGGGGAUUCUGCAACAGAGAUUGUGGUAGAAAACGAAGAAGAGCAAAGUGUGGCUGUUGAUGAUCAAUCCAUGGAACCUAGCUUUCGCGUUGUCCGUGAGAUCAAGCAUGGAGAAGAGAGAAUAAUUGAAGAGAUCAAACAUUUCAGUCAUCAACAUAACCUAAUCCUUAUUGACAAGGUUGAUGAUGAUCUAAAGUGUGAUGGGUGCAUGUUACCAAUCUCAACUGACAAAACCUGCUUAGAAUUACCAGGCGAAAAAAGUGGCAAUAUCACGAAAACCAACUGAUUCUUUUAUAUAACCUAUGGGAACAUGAUCUGUACAAGUGUAGUGUGUGCAAGCAAUAUUUUCGUGGGCUCAGCUACUGUUGUGUUAUAUGUGGACUCUGGAUUGAUGUCCAAUGCUUCAAAUCAUUGAAAGAUUCUUUUAAACACAGAGGUCAUGAUGAGCAUCCCCUUUAUCUUCCAGCGGGCAGAAAGAGUAUUCUCCAUUGCGAUAUUGGAGGUCGCGGGGCUCCCCCUUGGCUUGCAGAUGACGGAGAGAAUAUUCCCCAUUGCAGUGGCUGUUGUCACCGAAGAAUCAAAGGUAUUUUUUAAAUGUGCGGUUUGCGAUUUCAAGCUGGGUAUAAAAUGUGCUACACUGCCAUACAUAGCAAGACACGAGUAUGAUGACCAUCCUCUCUUCCUCACCUACAUUAAUGAAAAUGACUACCAGCCUUCCUGCUUAAUUUGUGAAAAAGAUAGAGACCCCAAGCUCUGGUUCUACCGUUGUGAGGAAUGCGACUUCGAUGCUCAUCC